UGGCACGUGGGACCCUGCGACUCACCGAAGACGGGAGACCUGGCGGCACCUUCCGGACCUUCUUGGGCUGUGUGUCUGUCAGGAGCAAGGGGAAUCAGGGGUCCUCAGGGCGCCUCCUGCCCCCCGCCACGUGCCCAGGUACCCGGCUUCGGCUUCGUUUCGCGUGUGUUAAUUUGAAACGGACUUCCUUUCCUCAAGGGCAGAAACGACCAGGGUUCAAGCCGGUUCCGCAGCUCAGGUGAGCAGCCGCUCCACGCCUCACCCUUCCUGUCUACACGGCGGGCACUCUGGCUGCGCCCACAGCGCACGGGGCCCAGCAGCCGGCUGGCCCGCAACAGCUGCAGCCGCUACCGCUCCUGAGGGGACACGGCACGCGGACAGGUGGCACCAACCGGGACAAGGCCCGGCCGCACCGAGCCGGAAGGGUCCCAGGCCGGGGGCCGCACUGGGACACGGGGGCUGGUCACUGCCGCCCUGCCUCUCAGCUAGACUAACUACCCCAGGUCGGGGAGCCACGGGACAGGGUCC